rnacentral:rRNA from 1 species
UACGAAGGGGGCUAGCGUUGUUCGGAAUCACUGGGCGUAAAGCGCACGUAGGCGGAUCUUUAAGUCAGGGGUGAAAUCCCGAGGCUCAACCUCGGAACUGCCUUUGAUACUGGGGAUCUCGAGUCCGGGAGAGGUGAGUGGAACUGCGAGUGUAGAGGUGAAAUUCGUAGAUAUUCGCAAGAACACCAGUGGCGAAGGCGGCUCACUGGCCCGGAACUGACGCUGAGGUGCGAAAGCGUGGGAAGCAACAG